GGCUGGUCUGGAUCGGCGCCUCGGUGCCGGAGGGCGGCACGGCGGAGGCCGAGAGUUCGUCGCCGGCCCGGAUCGCGUCCGGGUCCGCCUC
rnacentral:tRNA from 1 species